ACCAGCACUGUAAAGAGAGCAUUACAAAGACUCAAGAAGGCAGGCAGAAGACAGUCAGAAAGAUGGGGAAAAAGAGACAGAGAGCGAGACAGAUAUGCAUGGGGGACUAAAAGACACAGAGAGGCGGACAGACUCUUCCAGGACUGGUGUUGGAAUCAGGGAGAUAUAAAAAAUACGAAGUGCUAAUGUUGAAACUACUCCGUUUUCACGUAGGCAUAGACACCUUCUGCUCUUUCUUUCCCAGACGGGGGACAUUCAACUACUGUAUAGUGCUAGGAAUCAAAAGAGAUGUCUUACCACAGUCAACACGGCUCCAUGUUUAAAGUUCUGUUUAAAUGCGAUUAGCUGCGGUAUUGUAUAGUGCUAGGAAUCAAAAGGGAUGUCUUACCACAGUCAACACGGCUCCAUGUUUGAAGUUCUGUUGAAAUGCGAUUAGCUGCGGUAUUGUAUCUGGCGGACCUUGAACGAAACCACUGGAAAGAAGUGACACUAAAUCAUGAAGAGUUUAGAGCAUGAUGCAAGACUGGGAAGAAGUGACACUAAAUCAUAAAGAGUUUAGAGCAUGAUGCAAGACUGGGAAGAAGUGACACUAAAUCUUGAAGAGUUUAGAGCAUGAUGCAAGACUGGUAAGAAGUGACACUAUAUCAGGAAGAGUUUAGAGCAUGAUGCAAGACUGGGAAGAAGUGACACUAAAUCAUGAACAUUUUAGACAUGAUGCAAGACUGGGAAGAAGUGACACUAAAUCAUGAAGAGUUUAGAGCAUGAUGCAAGACUGGGAAGAAGUGACACUAAAUCAUGAACAUUUUAGACAUGAUGCAAGACUGGGAAGAAGUGACACUAAAUCAUGAAGAGUUUAGAGCAUGAUGCAAGACUGGAAAGAAGUGACACUAAAUCAGGAAGAGUUUAGAGCAUGAUGCAAGACUGGGAAGAAGUGACACUAAAUCAUGAACAUUUUAGACAUGAUGCAAGACUAGGAAGAAGUGACACUAAAUCAUGAAGAGUUUAGAGCAUGAUGCAAGACUGGGAAGAAGUGACACUAAAUCAUGAACAUUUUAGACAUGAUGCAAGACUGGGAAGAAGUGACACUAAAUCAUGAAGAGUUUAGAGCCUGAUGCAAGACUGGAAAGACGUGACACUAAAUCAUGAACAUUUUAGACAUGAUGCAAGACUGGGAAGAAGUGACACUGAAUCAUGAAGAAUUUAGAGUAUGAUGCAAGACUGGGAAGAAGUGACACUAAAUCAUGAAGAGUUUAGAGCAUGAUGCAAGACUGGAAAGAAGUGACACUAAAUCAUGAAGAGUUUAGAGCCUGAUGCAAGACUGGAAAGAAGUGACACUAAAUCAUGAACAUUUUAGACAUGAUGCAAGACUGGAAAGAAGUGACACUAAAUCAUGAAGAGUUUAGAGCAUGAUGCAAGACUGGAAAGAAGUGACACUAAAUCAUAAAGAGUUUAGAGCAUGAUGCAAGACUGAGAAGAAGUGACACUAAAUCAUAAAGAGUUUAGAGCAUGAUGCAAGACUGGAAAGAAGUGACACUAAAUCAUGAACAUUUUAGACAUGAUGCAAGACUGGGAAGAAGUGACACUAAAUCAUGAACAUUUUAGACAUGAUGCAAGACUGGGAAGAAGUGACACUAUAUCAGGAAGAGUUUAGAGCAUGAUGCAAGACUGGAAAGAAGUGACACUAAAUCAUAAAGAGUUUAGAGCAUGAUGCAAGACUGAGAAGAAGUGACACUAAAUCAUAAAGAGUUUAGAGCAUGAUGCAAGACUGAGAAGAAGUGACACUAAAUCAUAAAGAGUUCAGAGCAUGAUGCAAGACUGGAAAGAAGUGACACUAAAUCAUGAAGAGUUUAGAAGAUGAUGCAAGACUGGGAAGAAGUGAAACUAAAUCUUGAAGAGUUUAGAGCAUGAUGCAAGACUGGGAAGAAGUGACACUAAAUCAUGAAGAGUUUAGAGCUUGAUGCAAGACUGGGAAGAAGUGACACUAAAUCAUGAACAUUUUAGACAUGAUGCAAGACUGGGAAGAAGUGACACUAAAUCAUGAACAUUUUAGACAUGAUGCAAGACUGGGAAGAAGUGACACUAAAUCAUGAAGAGUUUAGAGCAUGAUGCAAGACUGGAAAGAAGUGACACUAAAUCAUGAAGAGUUUAGAGCCUGAUGCAAGACUGGAAAGAAGUGACACUAAAUCAUGAACAUUUUAGACAUGAUGCAAGACUGGAAAGAAGUGACACUAAAUCAGGAAGAGUUAAGAGCAUGAUGCAAGACUGGGAAGAAGUGACACUGAAUCAUGAACAUUUUAGACAUGAUGCAAGACUGGGAAGAAGUGACACUAAAUCAUAAAGAGUUUAGAGCAUGAUGCAAGACUGGGAAGAAGUGACACUAAAUCAUAAAGAGUUUAGAGCAUGAUGCAAGACUGAGAAGAAGUGACACUAAAUCAGGAAGAGUUUAGAGCAUGAUGCAAGACUGAGAAGAAGUGACACUAAAUCAUGAACAUUUUAGACAUGAUGCAAGACUGGGAAGAAGUGACACUAAAUCAUAAAGAGUUUAGAGCAUGAUGCAAGACUGGAAAGAAGUGACACUAAAUCAUGAACAUUUUAGACAUGAUGCAAGACUGGAAAGAAGUGACACUAAAUCAUAAAGAGUUUAGAGCAUGAUGCAAGACUGGAAAGAAGUGACACUAAAUCAUAAAGAGUUUAGAGCAUGAUGCAAGACUGGGAAGAAGUGACACUAAAUCAUAAAGAGUUUAGAGCAUGAUGCAAGACUGAGAAGAAGUGACACUAAAUCAUAAAGAGUUUAGAGCAUGAUGCAAGACUGGAAAGAAGUGACACUAAAUCAUGAAGAGUUUAGAGCAUGAUGCAAGAUUGGAAAGAAGUGACACUAAAUCAUAAAGAGUUUAGAGCAUGAUGCAAGACUGGGAAGAAGUGACACUAAAUCAUGAAGAGUUUAGAGCAUGAUGCAAGAUUGGAAAGAAGUGACACUAAAUCAUAAAGAGUUUAGAGCAUGAUGCAAGAUUGGAAAGAAGUGACACUAAAUCAUAAAGAGUUUAGAGCAUGAUGCAAGACUGGGAAGAAGUGACACUAAAUCAUAAAGAGUUUAGAGCAUGAUGCAAGACUGGGAAGAAGUGACACUAAAUCAUGAAGAGUUUAGAGCAUGAUGCAAGACUGGAAAGAAGUGACACUAAAUCAUAAAGAGUUUAGAGCAUGAUGCAAGACUGGGAAGAAGUGACACUAAAUCAUAAAGAGUUUAGAGCAUGAUGCAAGACUGGGAAGAAGUGACACUAAAUCAUGAAGAGUUUAGAGCUUGAUGCAAGACUGGGAAGAAGUUACACUAAAUCAUGAAGAGUUUAGAGCACGAUGCAAGACUGUGAAGAAGUGACACUAAAUCAUGAAGAAUUUAGAGUAUGAUGCAAGUCGUUGUCACUUAAUGGCAAGUAAGAAAUCACAUCUGAAAAUAUGGCCCACAGGGCAUGGACUACAAAAAAAUGUCGCAGUUUCCUUUUAUCUUACAAGUGCUGUGUGUUCGUUCCCUUUAAGAAUAACUUAACACCACGCCACGGUUUCAGGCCGUUUGUCAGUCUGUGGCCUCUAUGAAGGUAGUACAAAUAAGAUUAAGAUGGCCGUUAAUUACGAACAAGCAUAGCAGCCUGAGGGGCCGGGCCUGUCAAAGACAUUGCGGUCACACUCAGGGUCAGCGGUCACACCCUGGGUCGGGUCACCAGCAGCUAGGACAUUCGUAUUCUGCUUACACGCACGCGUUCACUCGACGUUUUACUUGGAUCAGAAAUUGGCGAUGCGUUUGUUCGCGAUCGCAUCGACGACAGAGAAGAACGUGACAAACGCGAAGAGACGCGAAUGAAAGCUGAAUCACGGCUAAAAAUACGAAAAUAAAAGCCGAAAACUUUUCAGUAACGAAAACCUCCACAAACAAACCCAAUAGGCUUAGCAGCCUCGCCAAUAGAGUAAGCAGCCUCGCCAAUAGGCUUAGCAACCUCGCCAAUAGAGUAAGCAACCUCGCCAAUAGGCUUAGCAACCGCACCCACCUUGGCAGGACCUCGAACGUGGGCUUCAGCCUCGUUUUGAACAUGACGACCAUCGGUUGUGCUCGCUGGCCGUCAUCUAGGGGGGGGGGGGGGGCAGGAGCGAAAACAUGAGAGAAGACAUUUGUUUUAAAAGACAUUUAUCAGUGAUACUAGAAAAGACUUCAAAUAUAUGUUUUAAAUUGCCCUUCAUGCACCCUUCAUUUACCCUUAUAAAAGUAAAUUUUUUAUUUUUU